CUGCUGCCCAGCUGUGCUCCUCAUGAGACACUCCCCCUUUAGGUAAUCACAACCUUACUGCUUGUUACACAAAUGUUAAUCAGCUUAGUGAAAAUCAGCUUACUGGAGCAGUCACACAAAAGGCUAAAAAACUUUCUUUGGCUGUCCCUGGCCUGCACAGCUGACUUGCACCUAAAGGCUUUGCGACCAGAGGUGGGACUAGGAGCUGUAGCUGUGAGUUGCCACUACAGGGCUGGGCUGGCUGCUUGGGACGGGGAGCCGUGGGCAAAGUGAUUGGUUGUCUGGGGUUAUGUGCCUCCUGCAUGGGCCCCGGCAAGCCAGGUGUCCUCUUCCUUGCUGCUGGAAAUAUGGUAACCCUACCUUUGCCCCUGCCCCUAACUGGGGUCUCUGGGCAGCCCCAGCACUUAUACAGAUGGGGAAACUGAGGCACAAGCAUUGGAUGCCUCACCCAAGGCCACACAGGACCCCUGUAUCAGAGGAAGGAGCCUUAGAGCCAUGCUGCUUGUCCCUUUGCCCCUGCCUGGGGUCUCUGGGCAGCCCCCACACAGAGAGCGGACCCUGUAGCAGGAAGUGAGUGGUAAAGACUUACAAGAGAAUGAUGUGCUUAUAACCUCUCCGCUCAAGAUGAUUUUGCAGUUCUUUGGAAAUCCUUCAAGUUUCUCCUGAGAAAGGGGGAUAUAGUAGUAAGGGUUAACUCAUUUUUUGAGGGCUGACAAGAUAACAUCAACAGGAAGUUGCCACCAUCUUUGUGCAUGUGUGCUAGCAGUUGCAAUAAAGCCAUUUUUG